rnacentral:rRNA from 1 species
AGCGAACGCUGGCGGCAGGCUUAACACAUGCAAGUCGAACGGGCACUUCGGUGCUAGUGGCAGACGGGUGAGUAACGCGUGGGAACGUGCCUUUCGGUUCGGAAUAAUCCAGGGAAACUUGGACUAAUACCGGAUACGCCCUUCGGGGGAAAGAUUUAUCGCCGAAAGAUCGGCCCGCGUCUGAUUAGCUAGUUGGUGAGGUAAAGGCUCACCAAGGCGACGAUCAGUAGCUGGUCUGAGAGGAUGAUCAGCCACAUUGGGACUGAGACACGGCCCAAACUCCUACGGGAGGCAGCAGUGGGGAAUAUUGGACAAUGGGCGCAAGCCUGAUCCAGCCAUGCCGCGUGAGUGAUGAAGGCCUUAGGGUUGUAAAGCUCUUUUGUCCGGGAAGAUAAUGACUGUACCGGAAGAAUAAGCCCCGGCUAACUUCGUGCCAGCAGCCGCGGUAAUACGAAGGGGGCUAGCGUUGCUCGGAAUCACUGGGCGUAAAGGGCGCGUAGGCGGACUUUUAAGUCGGAGGUGAAAGCCCAGGGCUCAACCCUGGAAUUGCCUUCGAUACUGGGAGUCUUGAGUUCGGAAGAGGUUGGUGGAACUGCGAGUGUAGAGGUGAAAUUCGUAGAUAUUCGCAAGAACACCGGUGGCGAAGGCGGCCAACUGGUCC